UGCGUGGGGGCACCCUGACCGCCUGCCGCGUGAGUGAAGAAGGCCUUCGGGUUGUAAAGCUCUUUCGGACGGAACGAAAUGGGCGGGACUAAUACUCCUGUCUGAUGACGGUACCGUAAGAAGAAGCACCGGCUAACUACGUGCCAGCAGCCGCGGUAAUACGUAGGGUGCGAGCGUUAAUCGGAAUUACUGGGCGUAAAGCGUGCGCAGGCGGUUUCGUAAGCUGGAGGUGAAAUCCCCGGGCUUAACCUGGGAAUGGCCUUCAGGACUGCGAGGCUAGAGUGCGGCAGAGGGAGGUGGAAUUCCACGUGUAGCAGUGAAAUGCGUAGAGAUGUGGAGGAACACCGAUGGCGAAGGCAGCCUCCUGGGCCAGCACUGACGCUCAUGCACGAAA
rnacentral:rRNA from 1 species